GACGGAGGAUGCAAGUGUUAUCCGGAAUCACUGGGCGUAAAGCGUCUGUAGGUGGUUCGAAAAGUCCACUGUUAAAAAUUGAGGCUUAACUUCAAAGAUGCCGUGGAAACUUUCAAACUAGAGUAUGGUAGGGGUAGAGGGAAUUUCCAGUGGAGCGGUGAAAUGCGUAGAUAUUGGAAAGACCACCGAUGGCGAAGGCGCUCUACUGGGCCACUACUGACACUGAGAGACGAAAGCUAGGGGAGCAAAUGGG
rnacentral:rRNA from 1 species